rnacentral:lncRNA from 1 species
CCGGGGGGGGGGGGGGAGGGCGGUGGCUGCAGACCCAGGCCUGGGCGGCCGGGCCGCGGGGGGAGUUUGCUGGCUGGAAGAUGUGCCGACCACCAGCACGUGUUUGUGCUUCUACCUCCCCGGAGAGCUCGGCUCAGGGCAAGCUCACAGAUCCGUGUCUCGGGAGCUCCCAGAGGCGCUGCAGAAAGGGACCCGCACCGAGCCCAUGAGGUGGGCCGCACGCUGCCUCGGCGUCACGGGCUCAUCUGGAGAGGUGGUCCCGGGCGGGUGCCACUCAAAGUCCGUGCGUCGGUCUCCCGUGGCGGCGGUGACACAUCACCACACACCGGGGCGCUGAGAACAACACGAGCCUGUUCUCUCCCGCUUCUGGGGCCAGGGGUCCCAGGUCAAGGUGUCGCCAGCCCCUGCGAGGCUCCCGCCUGCCUCUUCCAGCCCCGCCUGUGCCUGCGCGCCCACGUGGCCCUCUCCGUGGAUCUCUGUCAUCGCCCUCUGCCUCUGUCCUACAAGGACCCUUGGGAGGGACGGCCCGGCCGGCCUCACCGCACAAGCCUCGGCUCUGCUCACCUGGGACCCUCUCUGCCCGAUCGUAGCGACGGGUUCCAGGCGCAGGGAAGCGGCCACUCUUCACACGCAUCGGACCGUGUCCCGCGACCUCCUCCGGGAAGCCGCCUCGCGUGUCUUGCGCUCACCCGCCCCUCCGAUCAGACUCCCAGGCCCCCGUCCAGACCACGCUUGCCAAGUCCCCGCACGCACGGCCCCGGGGGGCCCCCAGGACACACAAGCAGACGCUGCCUGAGCUGCCAUUGUGAUCCCCCAAAACGGUCAGUGUUGCCCGGGGGGACCCCUCCCUCCGUGCACGGUGGCGGGCCUUUCCCUCAGGGCCUCGCGGUCCGGCUGAGCCCGCGUGCCCAGAGCACCCGGGCCAGAAGCCGCUGGUGCUCGGGAGGCACACGGAGCGGUCAGGCCUCAAGAGAGGACACGCUCGGGGGCCAUUUGACACUCCGCGCGAGCCGCUGCCGGCCCGGCCUCAAAGCCGUCGCGGGGAGACGGGGAGGCCACACGGAUGGGCCCCCGAGACGCCUCCACGCUCUGACGGUGACGGACGGCGACUCGAAACCGGCCACCCCUUCCACACGAGGCCGAACCGAGCGGUCUGCAUGUGGCUGGCGUCAGAGGGCCCCUCCCACACGUGGCUUCCGUCGGCUUUAG